GUAAAAGAAGUCUCAAAUUAUAUAUUUGAUUGUAAAAUAUCUCAUGCAAAAGAAAUAUAAAGAAGAACACUUCUUCUAUAAAAUAGUUCGAAUACGCAAAACAAAUGACCCCUUUCGAUUAAGAUUAUAACAGCAUGAAUCUACGAAUAGAAACAAGAAUGACUCUAGAGUUGUAGAUCAUAAUGCUAUGUAUGAAAUAAAGAAAAUCUAUGUAAGAAGUAUUCCAUAGAGCAGAGCAACCCUUUAUGACAGAGGCUAACAAGUUGCAAAAGUUUGUAAGAAGUGGCUCAUUGAGCAACCAAAUAGCCAAGAUGUC
rnacentral:lncRNA from 1 species